rnacentral:lncRNA from 1 species
AAGAAAGCAGGCUUCCCAGUAGAUGCCUGCAACUGCUAGCAGUGGUGUUGGAUGAGCUUGUGGAUGUCUUAGAAGCAAAUUCUAUGCUGGUAUCGCCGAAGCAGUCACUAAGAAGGGGAACCCUUGAAAAGAUUUGCAGGUGUAAAUAUGGUUUUGUAGCAUUGACUAGAUAUCUAACACCAAAGUGUUUGACAUAUGGUGAAAGUGAUGUGAGAAAAGGGUACGAGGGAUGAGCAAAUAUGGAGGUUCUUGGUGUCAGUACUGGGCAGACCCAAUUUACUGGGCAGACCCAGUAGAUGCCUGCAGCUGCUAGCAGUGGUGUUGGAUGAGCUUGUGGAUGUCUUAGAAGCAAAUUCUAUGCUGGUAUCGCCCGAAGCAGUCACUAAGAAGGGGAACCCUUGAAAAGAUUUGCAGGUGUAAAUAUGGUUUUGUAGCAUUGACUAGAUAUCCAACACCAAAGUGUUUGACAUAUGGUGAAAGUGAUGUGAGAAAAGGGUAUGAGGGAUGAGCAAAUAUGGAGGUUCUUGGUGUCAGUACUGGGCAGACCCAAUUUGGUGAUGAGUUAUUCUUAUUCACAAGUAUUUUGAUGAUACAAAUAUGUGGUUGCAGUUGGGAGGCUAAGUUCAAAGUGUUGUAGUAGUUGGUGCAUAGAAUUGAG